ACAGGUGCUGCAUGGCUGUCGUCAGCUCGUGUUGUGAAAUGUUGGGUUAAGUCCCGCAACGAGCGCAACCCUUAUCCUUUGUUGCCAGCGGUCCGGCCGGGAACUCAAAGGAGACUGCCAGUGAUAAACUGGAGGAAGGUGGGGAUGACGUCAAGUCAUCAUGGCCCUUACGACCAGGGCUACACACGUGCUACAAUGGCGCAUACAAAGAGAAGCGACCUCGCGAGAGCAAGCGGACCUCAUAAAGUGCGUCGUAGUCCGGAUUGGAGUCUGCAACUCGACUCCAUGAAGUCGGAAUCGCUAGUAAUCGUGGAUCAGAAUGCCACGGUGAAUACGUUCCCGGGCCUUGUACACACCGCCCGUCACACCAUGGGAGUGGGUUGCAAAAGAAGUAGGUAGCUUAACCUUCGGGAGGGCGCU
rnacentral:rRNA from 1 species